UACGUAGGUGGCGAGCGUUGUCCGGAUUUACUGGGCGUAAAGAGCGCGCAGGCGGUCGUACAAGUCGCGUGUGAAAGCCCCCGGCUCAACUGGGGAGGGUCACGCGAUACUGUUCGACUCGAAGGCAGGAGAGGGAAGCGGAAUUCCCGGUGUAGCGGUGAAAUGCGUAGAGAUCGGGAGGAACAUCAGUGGCGAAGGCGGCCAUCUGGGACAACACUGACGCUGAAGCACGAAAGCGUGGGGAGCAAACAGG
rnacentral:rRNA from 1 species